GACGAACGCUGGCGGCGUGCUUAAUACAUGCAAGUGGAGCGACGAACCAGGCUUCGGCCUGGGGCAGAGCCGCGAACGGGUGAGUAACACGUGGGUAACCUGCCUCGAUGACCGGGACAACCCGGGGAAACCGGGCUAAUACCGGAUGUGCUGUCCCCACAUCAGUGGAGACAGGAAAGGAAGCUUCGGCCUCCGCAUCGAGAUGGGCCCGCGGCCCAUUAGCUUGUUGGUGUGGUAACGGCNCACCAAGGCUGCGAUGGGUAGCUGGUCUGAGAGGACGAUCAGCCACACUGUGACUGAGACACGGCCCAGACUCCUACGGGAGGCAGCAGUAGGGAAUCUUGCGCAAUGCGCGAAAGCGUGACGCAGCAACGCCGCGUGGGGAA
rnacentral:rRNA from 1 species